AGGAAAUAGGAAGGAUUUUUUUGAAUUAUGUAAAUCUCACAUAUUAGAUACCUAUUCUGUAAAAUUGGAAAUUUUUUCAGUUAUCAAAUUAAUAAACAGAUUUAGAUUUUGUUCUCUAUUUGUUAAUUACAUGCUGAUAUCUGUUUGCAAGCUACCCAUCCUUGGCAUCACACAGGAUCAACACUUCCCUUUCUUUCUUCCUGAGAAAAAUGUAGGGAAAGGCUGAAUAAAUGGUAGAAAAAUGCUGUGUAUUUGUUCACUUCUCUAACUUUAGUGCUUAUUUUUUCAUUCUUCUGGAAAUGAUAGAUAAUGAUCUUUGAUAAAUGGUUAGAAAGUUUGUUUUGGUACCCUGUGCUUCAAAAGUACAUGGAAAGGUUUAGUUAAUGGAUAGUAUACUCACUGACUCAGUAUGUUUCUGUACUUUCCACACUACUGAUGUAUUUUUUGUUUUAAGUUGUAGCAACAGACUGGAACAAUAGCUUUUCUACACUGAGAUACAAACAGUGAAGGUAGAAUCAUGAUCAGGUAAUGAACUCUAUCUGUUCUGUUUUUUUCUGAAAAAAUUUGCACAUUUCAGUCCAGAAGAGAAAUGAUUCCAAAUACAAAACAUGAAGCAAAAAGGUAAAAAUUAAACAGUAUGCAACAGAGCAAUGCCUGUAUAUUCUAAUACUUUAAUAAGUUUUUUAACUAUAAUGUAAGACAUGGGACAAAAGGCAAUAAAUAUUUUAAGUAAUAGAAGUAAAAAAGAACAUUUAAAAAUAAUUUAUUCUAACCACCUUCAUUAACAAAUUACAUGCUUACAACAGAAGGGAAUUCAUACAGAGGGUGAAACAGAAGUGAAACAAGUAUGCAUUCUCUGGGGACUCAUUGGCUACCAAGGGCUCAUAUAGUUAGAGCUAGAGUACAAGACUCCUAGCCAAAGGCAAAUUGUUAUUGCAUCCAUGAGACAAAACUGCAACUGCAAUUUCUCCCCUGGGCUUAGAUACCACCACUCAUGAUGGAAAGUUCCUUGCAAGAAAAUAUUGGCUAGAGAAAAGAAAGAUCAUAAUGGAUCCUGGGGCAACACUCUGGACUUUAGCUAAGGUCCUUACUGAGAAAGAAUGAUGCUGGCCUGUGUGAACACAAUUUCAAAUUUACUAGGCUUUGAUCAGUUAUGGAAAUCUAGAUGACUGUCCCCCAAAUUAUGGAAACAGUGAUACAGAAAAGAAAAAGAGACCAACAAACUUCUCCCUCUGCUCUUCCCUAAGUUGUAUAUGAGAAACUCAUAUUUACUUGUUAAAAAAAAUUUUUUUUUUUUUCAUCCUAGCAGGAACUGAGAAGCAAAAGUAUUGAGGUGGAAAUGUUGGGGCUCAGGAACAAAUGGCCAAGGAAGAAUUCUUGAGACAACUUUGGUGCAUAAAAAGGUACUACCCAGGACCACAACGGCUAUCAUCUGAUUGACCUGAAGAGUCUGGGGGAAUACACUGUGGAAAAAGCACUUCCAGAAUGGAAGACUGAGGACUUCCGAAAAUCCUCUCCGUAAAUGUAAUGAGAACAAAAGCAAAUAUUGCCAAAAUCAACUUCCAGAACUCUGGAAACUGCCCAAAGAUUUAUAACAAUCUGAAAAGAGUUUAUUCAAGACAAAAAGUAUACAUUAUGUUAAGAACAGUGAGAUUUGGAAUAUUUUAACUUUCCCUAUUCCUGUUUCCUUUUCCCUAGCUCCGUAAUAACUGUAAAAUCCUACAGCAAUUCCAUUAUUACCACAGUAAUACAGUAAGACUUUGAAAACUAGCCUUGUAGUAAUUAGUCCCUUGAGGGAUUUGGAGCCCCCUCUCCCCUGCCAAAAGCCCUAUCUUCAGAUAAUUGUUACUAUAUGACCUAUCUGGCAGACUGUAGAAAGGCCCAUUCUCUAAGACUGUUUUUAUUUGUUCUGACUCAGAGCUCUCUCUGAAAGAGAGAGAAUUGCUCUAAAACAAUUAAUGACAAUUGUUUAAUAUUGUAGCUACCUAAGGCCAGGGCUAACAAAAAGCUGAUUAAAAACAAACAAACACUGGAGGGUUAUAUACUCAGUGGGGAUUUGCAAACAUCCUAUAUAUUUCUGGGACAUAAAAAGGCCACACAUAUGUUCAGGGCUUUGUACAUGCCCAGGAAAUACCCUAAUGUCUCACAUCUGUAUUACUUGAGUCUCCGCAUAACCAGAAGGCUAAGGCUAAGACAGAGUUGUAAACUGUCUGGGGGAGCAUUGGAGGCAUGCCUCAAAACAUACAGAAAACAUUGUCCAAAAUAUAUUGUCUACAUGAGUUAUACUUAAGACUUAAAAGCACAAACAGGGGAGGAGUUAAGAUGGCACAGGGGUAGGGGGACCCUAAGCUUGUCUCAUCCUGCAAACACAGCUAGAUAGUUAUCAAAUCAUUCUGAACACCCAAGAAAUCAAUUGGAAGUCUUAGAGAACAAAAACUUCAAAUCAACGAGUAGAAAAGUGACCUCCUUUUGGAAGGUAGGAAGUGUGGAGAGUUGACUUGGAGGAGACAUAACUGUGGAUAUUGUGGCAGGGAGGGGGCCCUGCUUAAGAGGCUACCAUAAAGUAUUAUCAGCAAUGGAGCACAAAAUCUGAACUUUUAGAAGUCCACUACCAUGGGGAACAUGCCUGGCUUAAAGGUCCUCAGGUGGCAAAGUAGGGUGGAGUCCCAUGAGUGACAGCUGGCCUGAAGAUCCUCUGGGUCACAAGAAGAAUGGGUGCUGCCAAUGUGCUGCACUGUUCCCAGGCAUAGAAGUGGGGACUCCAGCAGAGGGGAGUGAGACAGGGUGCUGGUUCUCUGUUGCUUUGCCAUAAACUCCAAACCACUGCGUGGUGAUGUAACCACAUUCCUACCAUGAGCCAGCAAAUGGCAAAAACGCUGUAAGACUCUACCCCAGAGGAACAGCACCAGUCGGUGCUGUGGGAGUCCCUAAAAUUUGGAGUUUUGAAAACUCAGUCUUGUGCCUGAAAUUAAAAAAAAAAAAAAAUUCAGAUAUCGGCAGGGUGAAUGCCAGGUUGUGAUGGAAACAGAGACACAAGAGGGGUAAUUGAUCUUGCGUGAGGAUUUUCCCAAAGAGUGAGGGGCACAAAAUUUCAGCUCUGGGGCUGGGGACUGGGGUGCAACCAUAUCCAUCUCACCAUCAGCCUUCAGAGAAUAAAACAGCACCACCUAGUGCAGGCUGGAGAUGCUUACCCUAAGCUCCACCCUCUGUGCCCUGGAGGCACAUUUCUACCAGGGCAAGUCCACCUGAGAAUAAGCUCAAUAGGUCCACCACCAGAAGACCAGCACAAACAACCCCCUCCACGUCUACUGAUCAUGGCGGGCUACAAAGCUUCAGGUCUAGGGAAAUUAGUAUCUAGCUUCCAUUUUACUAUUAUUUUUUGUUUUUCUUAUUAUUUAC